AACUUUUAACAACGGAUCUCUUGGCUCUCGCAUCGAUGAAGAACGCAGCGAAAUGCGAUAAGUAAUGUGAAUUGCAGAAUUCAGUGAAUCAUCGAAUCUUUGAACGCACCUUGCGCUCCUUGGUAUUCCGAGGAGCAUGCCUGUUUGAGUGUCA
rnacentral:rRNA from 2 species